rnacentral:tRNA from 1 species
GCCUCAGUAGCUCAGUCGGUAAGCCUUUCUCUUUUGUAAAAGAGAAACCCUUGGGAAAGAGAAAAAUCUUUGGCUUGAUAUAGAGCGUUGCCUUGGUAAGGCAAAGGUCGAGGGUUCAAAAAGGCCUUUCUUCAAAAGAAAGCCCUUGGGGAAAGAAUCCCUUUGAGAAUCCCCCCUGAGGCUCCA